UGUAAUUUGUAGAGGAUGCUUCGGCUUACGUCUCGGUCUAAGUUCCUUGGAACAGGACGUCACAGAGGGUGAGAAUCCCGUUUGUGGCCGCGACUUCUGCCAUGUGAAGCUCCUUCGACGAGUCGAGUUGUUUGGGAAUGCAGCUCUAAAUGGGAGGUAUAUUUCUUCUAAAGCUAAAUAUUGGCCAGAGACCGAUAGCGCACAAGUAGAGUGAUCGAAAGAUGAAAAGCACUUUGGAAAGAGAGUUAAAAAGUACGUGAAAUUGUUGAAAGGGAAGCGUUUGCGACCAGACUUGCCUGCGGAUGCUCAACCGGUCCUUCGGCCGGUGCACUCUUCCGCAGUCAGGCCAGCAUCAGUUCGAGUAGCCAGAUAAAGGCUUUGGGAAUGUGGCUCUCUUCGGGGAGUGUUAUAGCCCUUUGUACAAUAUGGUUCACUUGGACUGAGGCCCGCGCUUCGGCUAGGAUGCUG
rnacentral:rRNA from 2 species